CCGGGGGUAGGGAGGUAAGUUAGUCUGGGAAACGGCUCGAUGGAGGGGGGUAACUACUGGAAACGGUAGCUAAUACCGCAUAACGUCGCAAGACCAAAGAGGGGGACCUUCGGGCCUCUUGCCAUCGGAUGUGCCCAGAUGGGAUUAGCUAGUAGGUGGGGUAACGGCUCACCUAGGCGACGAUCCCUAGCUGGUCUGAGAGGAUGACCAGCCACACUGGAACUGAGACACGGUCCAG
rnacentral:rRNA from 1 species